UUCCCUUCCAACUCCACAAUUCUAUGAUUCCAUGAUUCAUUUUAUGUACUCAAAACCUUAGUUUUUGUAGAAUCAUAGAACUGUAAAGUUGAAAGAGAC